AGAACGGUGAAGAUCCCGGCGAUGGAAAAAAGGCGAAACUGCUCCGCGUAGGCUGCUCGGAGUGGCAUCGCACCUUGUUCGAGUCCGAAGAAGUUCCCGCUUCUCUAAGCCGGCUGAAGGGAUGCGAGUCUCCUCUUGUCCCAACGGGACUGCGUCCUGACACCGAGUGGACUCCGCCCCAAGAGUGCGAGCGUCCUGAGCGUUCAGGGCAUCCUGAGCCGCGGAAGGCAUCCGGCCACACCCCGCUCUUUACCCGCCAACGCCAGCCCAGGUGGCCAGGCUCAGAAUGGACUGUGAGCCUGUGUGUUAUGCAUCUCUGGUUGUAGAGACAAAAGGACAAAGAUGGAACCCACCAAGGAUGCUCCCGGCUGAAUGAAUUGUUGUUCUCUGGCUUACACAAAGUCAAGCGAAUGAUCGUCCCAUGUUAUGUAAUAUAGCAACGGCCUGCUUACCUUACUCCUUUAAUCUACGUUAUUCUGGAAAGUAACACUUGAAAUAAAAAGUAGAUACAUUCUACUGGGAAUGUGACCCUCAGAGAAGGAAAGAAAGACCGAGGGGUUGAACCUGAACACGUGAAAGAGAAUCCAAGGGAACCUGAUUGGUACUGCCACAUCAGAGAAGCCUCGGGUAAGGAGACUGGAUGCUUGGAAUCAUGGAUACUCAGAGCACUGUUAACAAAGAGCAGAGUCCAGUCUUCCAGAGUCAUGACCUGAAUCCAAAGUUGAAAAGAUCUGAGCAGUGUAUAAACAGCCUGUCAUAACCUGCAUAAUACAUUUUUAGUCCUGAAUAAAUUUAUUCACACUUCUUUCU
ensembl:lincRNA Dubr Dppa2 upstream binding RNA